UGCUUAACACAUGCAAGUCGAACGGAGCUUUUCGGAGCUUAGUGGCGGACGGGUGAGUAACGCGUGAGAAUCUGCCUUUUGGACCGGGACAACUGCGGGAAACGGCAGCUAAGACCGGAUGUGCCUUCGGGUGAAAUAUUCAUAGCCAAAAGAGGAGCUCGCGACCGAUUAGCUAGUUGGUGGGGUAAGAGCCUACCAAGGCUGCGAUCGGUAGCCGGUUUGAGAGGACGACCGGCCACACUGGGACUGAGACACGGCCCAGACUCCUACGGGAGGCAGCAGUGGGGAAUUUUCCGCAAUGGGCGAAAGCCUGACGGAGCAAUACCGCGUGAGGGAGGAAGGCUCUUGGGUCGUAAACCUCUUUUCUCAGGGAAGAAGCAAUGACGGUACCUGAGGAAUCAGCAUCGGCUAACUCCGUGCCAGCAGCCGCGGUAAUACGGAGGAUGCAAGCGUUAUCCGGAAUGAUUGGGCGUAAAGCGUCCGCAGGUGGCACAUCAAGUCUGCUGUCAAAGCCCCCAGCUUAACUGGGAAGAGGCGGUGGAAACUGGUGAGCUAGAGAGCAAUAGGGGUAGAGGGAAUUCCCGGUGUAGCGGUGAAAUGCGUAGAGAUCGGGAAGAACACCAGUGGCGAAAGCGCUCUACUAGGUUGCAACUGACACUGAGGGACGAAAGCUAGGGGAGCGAAUGGGAUUAGAUACCCCAGUAGUCCUAGCCGUAAACGAUGGAUACUAGGCGUUUCUCGUAUCGACCCGAG
rnacentral:rRNA from 1 species